UUAAAAUUGUUGCAGUUAAAACGGGAGUUUAAGGCAACAACAGGCCCCCACGUUGAAUUUACCACGGGAGUGAAGAGCUAAAGGCAGCAAAUUGAUUGCUUUGUUCAAAAUAAUGUUUUCUGAGGGUUAUGUUUUUAUCUUAUAUGACUUAAUCUUUUUUUAAAUCUCUUCAAUAUGCUUUUAUUGCUUUUGAGAGGUUUUGUUACUUUGAAUAACAUUAAAUGUUCAUAACAUACAGGUGGUCAUGAUUGAGUUCAUUGUGUUUGAUUACUACAGCAUGGAAUAACAAAUAUGAAUAAGCUAAUUAUUUUUUUUUUUCAUAAUUUUUUUUGAUAUUCUUAUUAGCUUAGUUACGAUUAAUAGGAGUAGCUUUGGGGGCAUUCGUAUUCAGAUGUCAGAGGUGAAAUUCUAAGAUUUUCUGGAGACGGACUACUGCGCAAGCAAUUGCCUAAUCUAUUUCCGUCAAUCAAGAACGAAAGGUAAGGGAGUGAAGACGAUCAGAUACGGUCGUAAUCUUACCCGUAAACUAUACCGACUAGGUGUUGGAUGAAUAUAAAAAAUAUAUAAAUAUGUAGCAUUUCUUAGGGAAUGUUGAUUUUAUAUGAGAAUUGCUUCCUUCAGUACCUUAUGAGAAAUCAAAGUCUUUGGGUUCUGGGGCGAGUAUUCGCGCAAGCGAGAAAGUUAAAAGAAUUGACGGAAGGGCACCACCAUGGCGUGGAGCUUGCGGCUUAAUUUGACUCGCCACGGGAAAACUCACUAGUUUAAGACCAGAGUAGGAUUGACAGAUUAAUAGCUCUUUCUUGAUUUCUUGGAUGGUAGAUGCAUGGCCGUUUUACCUUCGUGAAUAUGAUUUGUCGGGUUAACUUCGAUAACGAACGAGAUCUUAACCUGAUAAUUAGCGGUAAGUACACAAUAUUUUUAUUUGAAAUUGCGGAUAGGUAAUUAUACAUCUUUAUUCAGUGUUCAAAUUAGGAUAUUUUUUUAUUAAACAUUCUUUUCCCUGUUAUACUAUAAUAAUUUAGUUUUUUUCACCAUCUUUCUCUCUUCUUUUAAGAAAGCACGGAGUUUAUUAAUUAAAGCCUGCCCCAGGAACAAUUGGUCCAUGCCACAGGGGAGUUUAAGGCAACAACAGG
rnacentral:rRNA from 1 species